rnacentral:rRNA from 1 species
AUGUUUAUUGAAUAUAAAGAAAAGACGAACAGCUCAGUAACUCUUAUUUUAUUUGAUGUAUUAGGAUUCUAACUAUGUUAAAUUAUAGAUAAUAAUAAUACAAUAAGAAUAAGAUCUAUCAGUUAGUUGUUAAGGUAAUGGCUUAACAAGACUAUGACGGAUAACGGUAUUACUUUGUAAUAUUCCGGAGAAGGAGCCUGAGAGAUUGCUACUAAGUCUAAGGAUUGCAGCAGGGGCGAAACUUGACCUAUGAUAUGAUAUUGAGGCAGUUAUGAGUAGUAUUUUUAAUUAUUGUAAUAUUGUAAGUAUAUAUUACAAGAUAAAUCGGAGGGCAAAUCGAGUGCCAGCAGCCGCGGUAAUACUUGUUCCGAUAGUGUGUAUGAUGAUUGAUGCAGUUAAAAAGUCUGUAGUUUAUUAUUAAUAAGCAUUGUGAGGUAUAUUGUAUGGUUAGGAGAGAGAUGAAAUGUGAUAACCCUAACUGGAUGAACAGAAGCGAAAGCUAUAUACUUAAAUGUUUUAUUAGAACAAGGACGUAAGCUAGAGGAUCGAAGAUGAUUAGAUACCAUUGUAGUUCUAGCAGUAAACUAUGUUAAAUCAUAGAUACAUUUUAAAAUGUAUUUAUGUAAAGAAAUUAAGAUUAUAUUGACUCUGGGGAUAGUAUGAUCGCAAGAUUGAAAAUUAAAGAAAUUGACGGAAGAAUACCACAAGGAGUGGAUUGUGCGGCUUAAUUUGACUCAACGCGGGGUAAUUUACCAGGUAUCACAUGAUAUAAUAUUUUAUCAUGAUAGUGGUGCAUGGCCGUUUCCAAUGGAUGCUGUGAAGUAAUGAUUAAUUUCAACAAGAUGUGAGACCCUCUAUUAAGACAGAUGUAGUGAUACAUAUGAA